ACGGCUCAGUAACACGUAGUCAACACGCCCAGGGGACGUGGAUAACCUCGGGAAACUGAGGAUAAACCGCGAUAGGUCAUAAUGUCUGGAAUGAUUUAUGGCUAAAAUCUAUAUGGCCUCUGGAUUGGACUGCGGCCGAUCAGGCUGUUGGUGAGGUAAUGGCCCACCAAACCUAAAACCGGUACGGGCUCUGAGAGGAGAAGCCCGGAGAUGGGCACUGAGACAAGGGCCCAGGCCCUAUGGGGCGCAGCAGGCGCGAAAACUCUGCAAUAGGCGAAAGCUUGACAGGGUUAUUCUGAGUGAUUUCCGCUAAGGAAGUCUUUUGGCACCUCUAAAAAUGGUGCAGAAUAAGGGGUGGGCAAGCCUGGUGUCAGCCGCCGCGGUAAUACCAGCACCCCGAGUAGUCGGGACGAUUAUUGGGCCUAAAGCAUCCGUAGCCGGUCUUGCAAGUCUUCCGUUAAAUCCAGCUGCUUAACAGAUGGGCUGCGGAGGAUACUACAAGGCUAGGAGGCGGGAGAGGCAAGCGGUACUCAGUGGGUAGGGGUAAAAUCCUCUGAUCCAUUGAAGACCACCAGUGGCGAAGGCGGCUUGCCAGAACGCGCUCGACGGUGAGGGAUGAAAGCUGGGGGAGCAAACCGGAUUAGAUACCCGGGUAGUCCCAGCUGUAAACGAUGCAGACUCGGUGAUGGGCCGGCUUUAUGCCGGCUCAGUGCCGCAGGGAAGCCGUUAAGUCUGCCGCCUGGGGAGUACGGUCGCAAGACUGAAACUUAAAGGAAUUGGCGGGGGAGCAC
rnacentral:rRNA from 1 species